rnacentral:rRNA from 1 species
AUGUCGGCAGGGAUUCUUCCACCCUUCAGGAAAACCAGGUACCAUCUCAACGAGUUCUCUGGUAGGAACUAUCCUAGGACUGCAGAGGAGCUGUUUAAUCUCAGACACUCCAGCCUUAGAGUAACUGUUGAGAGGGCAUUUGGAGCUCUGAAGAAUAGGUUUAAGAUCCUGGAUCAAAAGCCAUUCCACCCAUACUCCACUCAGGUUAAGUUUGUUCUUGCUUGUUGCAUUCCGCAUAACUGGAUCCUCCAGUGGGGCUUUGAUAAACACAUGCCUGAGGAGGAAGAGGCCGAGCCUGACGAUGUUGCUAGCUCCGGCCAUGGUGUGGAGGCAUUUGACAAUGACGCUUGGAAGAACAAAAGAUUGGAGUGGGCAGAGGCA